AAUUCACCCCUGUUGUCUAAAAAAUAUAUUAUAAUAUCAGGGAUUAAAAUUCAGUUUAAAAAGUUAUCGUAAUUUAGAUAAAGUCUAUAUAGCAAAUCGCUUGAAGAUAAGAAAGUAGUUUAAAUUACAGACCAUAAUAAUUUUACAAUUUGAUAAUUUAGGCUUAUAUCUGCACUAACAUCUUUGAUUAUAUUUGUUCAUAAUAAAACAUAUAUUAAUGAGGUAACUUUCAAAUUUUCCUUAUUUUAAAAGGUUUCUCUCCGAUGUAUAUUUGACAAAUAUUUGAUAAUUUAAUAAAACUCGUAGCGAGAAAGGUGUCAAAAUGAGGCGCUUAAUGUUUGAAGAUCAAUGAAGUAACACUGCCGUAUACUUCCCCAUACUUAAGAAUAGGAAUGAAUUGACAUCGUGACGUUUGUCCUAGGUUGAGCGAUGGAAAGCGACGCGAUGCGGCGCUACAUAAGCCACACGUCGCGUGAAUUACUGGUCGCAUCGUAUCUCAUCGCAUCGCAUCGCGUCGCGUCGUUUUCCGUCGCUCACCUAGGACAACGGGUUAUCCUGCACAUUCUCCAUACCUCACAUCUCCAGACGCAUACAUUUGGGGCAUGGCGAAAACUGCAGUUUUUAAACGGACACCACAAAUCAUCCAUGAAUUAAAGGAUACCGUUAGAGCCUUCUCCGCGGACCUGAGACAACCCUUAAUUCAUAACAUGACGAGAAAGUUGGAACAUCGGUAUGAACUAUGUCUUGAGCGAGGAGGAGCAUAAUUAGAACAUAUAAUAAAGUGUCAAUAAUAUGUAUUUCUUAAACCAAUAAAAUAAUUACAAGCUAA